rnacentral:rRNA from 1 species
CCUACGGGGGCUGCAGUGAGGAAUAUUGGUCAAUGGGCGCUAGCCUGAACCAGCCAAGUAGCGUGAAGGAUGACUGCCCUAUGGGUUGUAAACUUCUUUUAUAUGGGAAUAAAGUGCAGUAUGUAUACUGCUUUGCAUGUACCUUAUGAAUAAGGAUCGGCUAACUCCGUGCCAGCAGCCGCGGUAAUACGGAGGCUCCGAGCGUUAUUCGGAUUUAUUGGGUUUAAAGGGAGCGUAGGCGGGUUGUUAAGUAAGUUGUGAAAGUUUGCGGCUCAACCGUAAAAUUGCAGUUGAUACUGGCAUCCUUGAGUACAGUAGAGGUAGGCGGAAUUCGUGGUGUAGCGGUGAAAUGCUUAGAUAUCACGAAGAACUCCGAUUGCGAAGGCAGCCUGCUGGACUGUAACUGACGCUGAUGCUCGAAAGUGUGGGUAGCAAACAGGAUUAGAUACCCCAGUAGUC